UAAAGGAGGAGGAGAAAGGACACAGACAAGAGAGAGAAGAAGAACAACUGUGAGUCAGAGUCACAAACAAACAAACAAACAAACAAACAAACAAACAAAGUUCUGCGAGAAGAAAACGACUUUAUAGAAACAGAGUUUAAAGAUUCAGAGCUGAAUCUUCUCCUGAGUUGAUUUUAAAGAGUCUUUCAGGGGAUCACAGGGGGAUAACAUGGGGAUCACAGGUGAAUCACAGGGGGAUAACAUGGGGAUCUCAAGUGGAUCACAGGGGGAUAACAUGAGGAUCACAGGGGAAUCACAGGGGGAUAACAUGAGGAUCACAGGGGGAUCACAGGGGGAUAACAUGAGGAUCACAGGGGGAUCACAGGGGAUAACAUGAGGAUCACAGGGGGAUCACAGGGGGAUAACAUGAGGAUCACAGGGGAAUCACAGGGGGAUCACAGGGGAAUCACAGGGGGAUCACAGGUGAAUCACAGGUGAAUCACAGGGGGAUAACAUGAGGAUCACAGGUGAAUCACAGGGGGAUAACAUGGGGAUCACAGGGGGAUAACAUGAGGAUCACAGGGGAAUCACAGGGGGAUCACAGGGGAAUCACAGGGGGAUCACAGGUGAAUCACAGGUGAAUCACAGGGGGAUAACAUGAGGAUCACAGGUGAAUCACAGGGGGAUCACAGGGGAAUCACAGGGGGAUCACAGGUGAAUCACAGGUGAAUCACAGGGGGA